CAAUUAUUUAACGUGACAGAAAUGUACAUUUUGACGUAAAAAUCAACGGUCUCAAUUUAGAAACAAAUUUUUUAUUUUCUUUUACACAAAAUUCCAGUUAUUUUAAUAUUUAAAAAAUUAUGGCCGGUAAUGGAAUGAAAGCGAAAGCCCCAAAAAGAAAAUGUGAUAGAAAAGGUUGUCAUAAAGCAAGAACAAGAAAUGGAUUUAUCAUUUUCUUCAUGAGAUUGUUGAAGUGUAUGCCGACUAAAUGUGUAACGCACGUUGCGCAAAUUGCUGGAAAAAAAUGGGCGAAAAUGCCAAAGGAAGAAAAAUGCAAAUUUCUCACAUUGGGCCGUAAAUCAUCGCAGAAAAAGAGUCGUAAACGAAGGAAACCAAAAUAUUCUUCCUGCAGAUCAUCGUAAAUUUUUACAAGAUUCCUGAAAGCCGGUGGAAGUAAAUUUUGCUGUUGGAGAAAAAUUGAACGACCCAGGGUUAAAUUAAAUUUUUCGGCCGAAUUUUUAAUCUUCAUAAACGUCAUAUUCCAGUGUCAACAAAAAUUGUGAUAAUUUUGUGAAAGUCCCAAGUAAUUUCAUUCUUCAAGGUGAAAGAAAAAUUUGUACAUUUUUUUUUAACUAUUUAUCAUUGCUACACAUUUUUUUUUAUAAAAAUUU